AGCGAGCGCUCGAGGGGGCGGCGCGGGGUUCGCGGAGGGGCCCCAAGGACGCGCCGCCGGCUUCGCCACGCCGAGCGCCCGGCCCGGACCCUGUUCCCUAAAGAUCAGGACGGAUGGGGAAAAGCGCCCUUCUUAGGUGAAAGCAUCAGCUCGUUUCUACGUGUCAGCACUGGGAGAAGAUGUGGGGUCAGUGUCUUCACCAGGGAGCUGGUGCGAGGAUCAGCCCGUGAGAUGACAGACUCGGCGCCCUGCCAGAUGCUGUAAAGCGUGGAACUGUGUCAUCGAUGGUUAAGGAGAAAACAGGGUUUUGCAAAGGCACAACUAGAAGGAUGAAGGUGGCUGAAUAUUUGUCUUCUGAGUGAUACGGACUUUCCUUGAAGAAUGGCGUAUUUACGAGUGUCAGCCUGCCACCCGUUACUGCGAUUAGGUUCUUCAGCAACCGAGGAGGAAUGAGGAGGACUCAGACGGAUUUCGAAGAAUGGCAUGACUAAUGUACAAACAAGAGUGAAAGGGAGUGUUGGAAAAACUCAGGGACACUGAAGACUGAAGUGGGUUGAAAACAAAUCAGAACGUGAGUUCUCCCACUUGAGUGCGAGCAGAAUUUGUUUUUCAGAAGUAAUUUUUAAGGAUUCACUUGGAGAAGGAAGAGGGAUUUUCCUUUACGCUUUUGGAUCGGAUGGCUCUGUGUUGCGAACGGUUUUCUCGCGGCCUUCAAGAAUUUGUUUGGUACCCACUUGUUCAAAACCCAAGGGCAAACAGCCAAGUCCCCUUAAAGCUGUCCGCCCGGGACUACGGGAGUCAGUUUGAAACGUCUUCGUUUUAAGAAGGUGGCAGAAUUACAUAAUUAUUCACAGCUCAUAAGAAAUUAAAAUACCUCUUCCAAAUAUGAAGUCGCGAGAUAACACAAACCACAAGUCCUAGACUCUCGGAGGGCGUGUGCCUCGUUUGUGCUCCCACACACAAACCCACAGCCGACCGUCUGCGCUGAGAGCACGUGGCCCCACUGAGAGCACGUGGCCACGCUGACCUCGCUUCCCUCGUGUUCCUCCGCACACAGCAGGGCUCUUGCCCAGGGCCUCCCUUGGCGACGCCGAGGGACCGAAGAUGCCAAAUGCUGGAGAGGCGGGAGGUCACCACAAGGCACCUGGGACCACAGACGCACUCUCUUCCACUCAUGGCCAGGGUGCACGAGAAAACAGCAUAGGCACAGAGGAAAAUUUGUAAAAACCUGAACUAACUGGCUCGAGGCCUUGGCCCAUCCAAGCGCAGCCCGAAGCUGCGAGUCGCUCAAGGCUGCUUCAGAUCCGGGCGCGUUUUAUCUGCGGUGGGAAUUUUGGAGAUAAUUCAUCCUGAGACGGUUCAUCUCAUCUCAGCCCAGUUUUCAGCAAUUCCUCUGAGACGGGCCAUCCUUUCCCAGUGGACAAAGCGUGUUGACUGGUAUUUAUGGCGAUGCCCAAUGGGAGGCAGAGUCACAGAUUUCUCCCAAAUCUCGGAGCCAAAGCUGGGCUCUGAAGUUUUUCUUCUACGUGCUUAGAGGCAUUCGGGGACAUGGCAGAGAAAUUAGGGUGCAAAGGAUUACUCAUCAUAUCUUUAAGAUGCCGCCUUGCGCUGCUCUGCAAUUAGAAAACGUGUUCCCUCCCGAGGCUGGUGCUGGUCGGGGGAAGGCUGGAUGGCACAGCAGCAAGAUAAUUAGGCACAACAGAAUUAACUCCAGAGUAAGUGUCAGCCUCAGUUGCAAUCCUCCUCAUUUCAUUAUACUCAGCCCUGUAAUGUCUGUUUUUUUGUUUUUUUGGUUUCGCUAAAUCAAUUUUAAGCAGCACCAAAAAACACCAGGAAGGUGGUAAGAAAGUGAAAAUAAGUGAGAAGAGUGUAUAUACUCCAUCGGGCCCGUCUGGAAAAUGUUUAAUUGGAUUCGCUCCACGCCAACACCACUGUGGCGGCAUCGCCGUCUCACGUGUGGGUUCACCCCCGGCAAGCUCAGUGUGUGGGGUGCCUCCCUCCCCUCCUCUCCCCUCCCCUCCAGUUCCACUGUGUCCACUGUGCUGCAACCGAGCAGGUCCUUAGGGGUCCUUCCUGGGACAGGCCCCUCCCCGCCCAUGUCCUCCACCUGCCUCGUGUCUGUAGAAAAACUUUAGCCUCCUGGGCCCUCACCUCCUUCCAAAGAAUGCAUUUAAUCAGAGAAGUGAGAAAUGCAGAAAGAAAGGACAAUGGUCAAGCAAGACAAAAGCCAUUCAACAAACUCCAGGGCCUUGCGUUCCUCGUCGGGGGCUGUAGAUAAUAUUCUGAGCCAUUUCCUCGAGCUGUUUUGCAGAGGCUGAAACCCCCACCAGGUGGGGGAAGUUAACUGUACGC
ensembl:lncRNA